GUGAGUGAUAGGCUUUCCCUUCGAUUAUGAGUAAUGGUGAUCAACACCUGAAGUUGAGGGGAAUCCUUUGCCCCUUGCUACUUGUCACCAUCGCUCAUCGCCAAAGAGAAAAACUGACACUCACUUUCCCUACUCAUGUCAUGGCUGUUGCUGGGUUCCAAUCAUUGGUCGAAAGGAUGGGUGGGAAUAGGUAGUGGAAACCUCAACGAAGGAAG
rnacentral:lncRNA from 1 species